rnacentral:rRNA from 1 species
CACGAGGGUGCGAGCGUUGUCCGGAAUUAUUGGGCGUAAAGAGCUCGUAGGCGGUCCGUCACGUCGGAUGUGAAAUUCCAGGGCUCAACCCUGGACCUGCAUUCGAUACGGGCGGACUAGAGUUCGGUAGGGGAGACUGGAAUUCCUGGUGUAGCGGUGAAAUGCGCAGAUAUCAGGAGGAACACCGGUGGCGAAGGCGGGUCUCUGGGCCGAUACUGACGCUGAGGAGCGAAAGCGUGGGGAGCGAACAGG